UACGUAGGGGCAAGCGUUGUCCGGAUUUACUGGGCGUAAAGCGCACGUAGGCGGAUCGAUCAGUCAGGGGUGAAAUCCCAGAGCUCAACUCUGGAACUGCCUUUGAUACUGUCGAUCUGGAGUAUGGAAGAGGUGAGUGGAAUUCCGAGUGUAGAGGUGAAAUUCGUAGAUAUUCGGAGGAACACCAGUGGCGAAGGCGGCUCACUGGUCCAUUACUGACGCUGAGGUGCGAAAGCGUGGGGAGCAAACAGGG
rnacentral:rRNA from 1 species